rnacentral:rRNA from 1 species
UACGGAGGGUGCAAGCGUUAUCCGGAUUCACUGGGUUUAAAGGGUGCGUAGGCGGCGCAGUAAGUUGGGUGUGAAAUCCCUCGGCUUAACCGAGGAAUUGCGCCCAAAACUACUGUGCUCGAGGGAGAUAGAGGUGAGCGGAACUUAGGGUGGAGCGGUGAAAUGCGUUGAUAUCCUAAGGAACACCGGUGGCGAAAGCGGCUCACUGGAUCUCUUCUGACGCUGAGGCACGAAAGCUAGGGUAGCAAACGGG